rnacentral:misc_RNA from 1 species
GAUGAAGAACGUAGCGAAAUGCGAUAAGUAAUGUGAAUUGCAGAAUUCCGUGAAUCAUCGAAUCUUUGAACGCACAUUGCGCCCGCCAGUAUUCUGGCGGGCAUGCCUGUUCGAGCGUCAUUUCAACCCUCAAGCCCCCGGGCUUGGUGUUGGGGAUCGGCGAGCCUCCGCGCCCGCCGUCCCCUAAAUCUAGUGGCGGUCUCGCUGUAGCUUCCUCUGCGUAGUAGCACACCUCGCACUGGGAAACAGCGCGGCCACGCCGUUAAACCCCCAACUUCUGAACGUUUGACCUCGGAUCAGGUAGGAAUACCCGCUGAACUUAAGCAUAUCAAUAAGCGGA